GUGGUCACAGGGGCAUCAGGAGCCCAGGACCACUUGGCUAGUUUCAGACCAGCUGGGGCAGGCAGGAAGGGACACACUCGUAUUUGCUCAGUUACAAUCAACGACUCCUUCUUUGUGUAAAAUGGUAAUGAGGCCAUUAGGAGAGGCUCACCUGAAGUGCAGCGUUGUGAAUCCAAGGUAAUUAAACACCUCCCGAAUGAAAGAGAAAGGCCAGGGAAGGUUAAGUGAGGAAUAAUCUGCGGCACAGGUGGCCCAAGGCCCUUGAGGAGCCAGAAGGAGAGCGACAGUGGCUUGCACCAUUUCAAAGGAUGGAAAUGUCACUGUAGUCCCUGGGAGGGGAAGGAUUUUUAUUUUUAUUUUGGGGGCAGGGGCAGGGAGUGGGUAGUAUUUUUAGCAUGUUAAUAGAGCAUGCUGCUUUUUCAUACUUCUCUUUGUAGGUGGAAGUCCAUGGCAGAGUCAGCCUGGGUGCUGAGUGGCCUGCAUUGCUCCUCAGGGGCUCUCAUCACUGUGGGGCUGGGGCUUAUGUGUCCUUGAUAAGGGGAGGUCAUAAUAAAUCAGUUAUAGAUACCCGGAUGUUGAGGUAGACUUCAAACUGCUUCCAAAGGAAUUGUUUUCCAUGGUCCCCUCUUGGAGUAGAGGUGGGAUAACUACCCCCUCAGUGUAUGUUCCCAGGGCUUUUUACUUUUCCUUUUUUUUUUUUUUUGAGACAGGGUCUCACUCUGUCACCCAGGCUGGAGUGCCACGGUGCAAUCAUAGCUCAUUGCAACCUCAAACUCCUGGGCUCAAGCAGUCCUCCCACCUCAGCCUUCUAAGUAGCUGAGACUACAGGCAGGUGCCACCAUGGCUGGCUAAAUCUUUUUAUAUUUUUUAUAGAGAUGGGAUCUCACUGUGUUGCCCAGGCUGGUUUUGAACUCCUGGCCUCAAACGAUCCUCCUGCCUUGGC
rnacentral:lncRNA from 1 species